rnacentral:lncRNA from 1 species
GGGUAAGGGUAGUUGUUUGGGAGAUCCUGAGCAGAAUUAGGAUGACCACAUGUGACAGAAAAAAAUCUCAAAGUACUUUAGAGAAUUCAGAUACUUGCUUUUAGUAUAAAUAGCUUAGCAUAUGGCAUCUACAAAAGUCUUGCAAUCACUGAUAGUAUAAUUAGUGAUUAAAUGUUAGUGCUUAAAUUAUUAGACUGCAAUUAGGUAAAGCCAGAUUCUGGCCUAGAGUCAGCCAAGAAAGUUCUUUUAGUAAUUUGGAGUAGUACAAAUAUAUAAGGUUUCAAAAGAAAAUAGAGAAAUAAAAAAAAGGCUAAAUGAGAGAAGAAUUGCCUCUCUCAGGCUACUUCAAGAGGGUUGCUGCUGUGAGAAUGAAAAAAGACAGGCCUCCACAGAAACUGCCUUGACUGAGGAAAUAGUGGAAUCUAAAUCUAAUAAAAUAAUAAUUAGUAGCCGUGUUUGAAUAGUACCUGGUGCUGAAAACUUGAAUUGUUCUGACUUUUCACUAAGAAUCACUACCAAUCUCACAUUCUUGUCAUUUUUUUUAGGUUCAAUGGAACUGGAAUCUUUGCCAAGUUACAUCUUAUAUGAGAGUCAGUUCCUGGAGUGGGGGAAACAAUUCAACUCCUGCUGAUUUGAAUAUAUAAAGAAGCCCUGGAUAUAUAAAAAUUGCUGAUAAUGGAGACUUACUUUCACUUCCUUCAAAAAAUGUAUAAUGAUAUAAUUGCUGGUGCUUUGUUCGCCCAAGAUAGUUACAGUUGUGCAGCUCUUCUAAACCCAUCGGCUUUUUCAUCAGCAAAAAAUUGUGAAUUAUGUGCCUGUCAUUUUUUUUCUAAGUUGGAUGCUGAGAUUCCUUCCGGUCUAGACCCAAUAAACAAAGGACAUGAUAUUUCUAAAAACCUUAGCCAUCUGAAGUGCCAUGCACGGGAAAUUAUUCUGCUUCAGUUAACUUUGAUCGAGAUGGUGCUUGCCAAACUGCAGCUGCAAGGGGUGGCUACUGAAAUAAAACCCAAAUACAUUGAGAUCCUGAGAAUCCUGGAAGAAUCGAAUAUUGUCGCUGAAUUGAUUCAUCUGCUACGUAGUUCAGAUAAACAGCUCUCUCACAUGGCUUCUAAAAAUUUGGCUUCCCUUGUGCAUUUCCAGCUAACAGAAGAGGUAAGUCAGAAACUGAGCUUUGUAGUUACGGUUUAGCCAAAUGUAUCUGCUUUGUGGUUUUGUUUUUACUUCAAAUACACAUGUAAUAAUAGCUUAUGUUGGAAGAAAUAUCCUUCUGGGUUCAGUUCCAAGUGGAGAAAAAGACACUGGAAACAUGGGGGCUGUUUGGAAAGAUGGCUUAAUGGUGGGCAG